UAUUUAUCGAGAGUGUGGCGAGAGCACUGGCUCCAUGACCCACCGGCAACCCUGACAACAGAAGGUGCCAAGUCCAGCCCUGAAUUGAUUUGGGGAAAGAUACUUA
rnacentral:ncRNA from 2 species